UACGGGGGGGGGCAAGCGUUGUUCGGAAUUACUGGGCGUAAAGGGCAUGCAGGCGGUCCGACACGUUUUGUGUGACAGCGGGUGGCUUAACUACCCGAGGAUACGAAAGACGGUAGGACUUGAGGACUCGAGAGGGACACGGAAUUCCGGGUGGAGUGGUGAAAUGCGUAGAGAUCCGGAGGAACACCGAAGGCGAAGGCAGUGUCCUGGCGAGUGACUGACGCUGAGGUGCGAAAGCCAGGGGAGCGAACGGG
rnacentral:rRNA from 1 species